rnacentral:rRNA from 1 species
GACUCAACACGGGAAAUCUCACCAGGCCCGGACACCGGAAGGAUUGACAGAUUAAUAGCUCUUUCUUGAUUCGGUGGGUGGUGGUGCAUGGCCGUUCUUAGUUGGUGGAGCGAUUUGUCUGGUUAAUUCCGGUAACGAACGAGACUCUAGCCUGCUAAAUAGGCGUCGUCAUUCAGGUGGGUGCGGCUUUCGGGUCGCGCCACUCACUGGCGACGUGAAUAAAUUCUUCUUAGAGGGACCGGCGGUUUCGAGCCGCACGAGAUUGAGCAAUAACAAAACUGUGAUGCCCUUAGAUGUCCUGGGCCGCACGC